ACAUAAUGAUGCACUGUUUCAGCGAGCGCAAUUAAAAGCCCAUGUUUUAACCCAUAGCCAAGAGAUUGAACCUCAACUUUUAUCCAGAAAGAAUGUUAUGAUCGCUGCCCAUGGAAACUCCCUGAGAUCCAUUAUCUUAUAUCUCGACAAGUUAACUUCCCAAGAGAUUUCUGUUAGCAGAAGAAUUGAAGCUACCAAAUUUGCCCAAUUAUGGAAUGAAAUUAUUUGCAUUUUUUGUGAGGAAGAUGUCAUUACUGAUAGGCAAGGCCUCAAAGAAAAUGUCUUUACUUGCUCUUACUUGGCUUCUAUUACUUUCUCCUUGAUCCUUAUGUUUAAUUAUAUUCCAGAAAUUGAUCGUUUCUAUUUUAUGCAUCUAUCUGUGGAUUGACCUCUUCUUGUUAUUUUAUUUUACUUUUUAAGGAAAAACAAUAAUAGUUAUGUAGAACAAUACCAUAUGGAAUUAUGUUUGGAACUAUUGACAUUGAGAAUUUUUUUAUAUAUAGAGUUAUGUCUUAUAUU